AGCCACAGCCAUGUCACCCUGCAGCCCAAGACCGGUUACUCACUAAAGCUAAGCAGGGCUGAGCCUGGUCAGUACCUGGAUGGGAGACCACUUAAGAAAACUAGGUUGCUGUUGAAA
rnacentral:rRNA from 1 species